rnacentral:tRNA from 1 species
GCCUUGGUGGCUCAUUUGGUUAAGUGUCUGACUUCAGCUCAGGUCAUGAUCUCACAGUUUGUGGGUUCAACACCCACGUCAGGCU